GCUCCUAUAGCUCAACGGAUAGAGCAGAAGCCUUCUAAGCUUAAGAUAGAGGUUCGAUUCCUCUUGGGAGCACCA
rnacentral:tRNA from 1 species